rnacentral:rRNA from 1 species
UAGUCAUAUGCUUGUCUCAAAGAUUAAGCCAUGCAUGCCUAUGUAUAUGCUCUCGCACAGUGAAACCACGAAUGGCUCAUUAAAUCAGCUAUUGUUUAUUAGAUCAUACCCGUUACAUGGAUAACUGUAGUAAUUCUAGAGCUAAUACAUGCCUCGAAUCCGUGACCCGCGAGGGGAUCGGUGCACUUAUCAGUACAAGACCAACCGGGUGUCUCUCUUUCGGGAGAGAUGCCUGUGAAAGUCGUGUUGACUCUGGAUAAUUUUCUACAGAUCGCAGUCGGCCUUGUGUCGGCGACAGUUCUUUCAAAUGUCUGCCCUAUCAACUUACGAUGGUAGGCAACCUGCCUACCAUGGUGAUAACGGGUAACGGGGAAUCAGGGUUCGAUUCCGGAGAGGGAGCCUGAGAAACGGCUACCACAUCCAAGGAAGGCAGCAGGCGCGCAAAUUACCCACUCCCGGCACGGGGAGGUAGUGACGAAAAAUAACGAUGCGGGGCUCUUUGAGGAUCCGUAAUCGGAAUGAGUACAGUCUAAAGCCUUUAACGAGGACCAAUUGGAGGGCAAGUCUGGUGCCAGCAGCCGCGGUAACUCCAGCUCCAAUAGCGUAUAUUAAAGUUGCUGCAGUUAAAAAGCUCGUAGUUGGAUCUUGACGGCACUGUCGCUGGUCUCUGGUGUCUGGAGGCCUUCUCGGACUUCGGUCUGUUGAGGGUCGCCUUCGUCAUUGACUAGUUGGUGGUGCAGUCUUUCAGCCGUGUCUGUUCCCCUUGGGGUUCAGGUGUCUUGCAGCAGUGGGGGUUACCCUUCACUGGUGUGGGGUACGCACUACGAUCCGCUUCAUUGCGUGUCGUUGUGCGGGCGGCAUGUUUACUUUGAACAAAUUUGAGUGCUCAAAGCAGGCCAAUGUGUCUGAAAAGUCUUGCAUGGAAUAAUAGAAUAGGACUUCAGUUCUAUUUUGUUGGUUUUCGGAUCUGAAGUAAUGGUUAAGAGAGACAGACGGGGGCAUUUGUAUGGCGGUGUUAGAGGUGAAAUUCUUGGAUCGCCGCCAGACAGCCUGAAGCGAAAGCAUUUGCCAGGAAUGUUUUUCAUUGACAAAGAGCGAAAGUCAGAGGUUCGAAGACGAUCAGAUACCGUCCUAGUUCUGACCAUAAACGAUGCCGACUGACGAUCCGUGGGGUAAAAUUCUUUUGUCCCCACGGGCAGUCUCCGGGAAACCUUUAAGUCUUUGGGUUCCGGGGGAAGUAUGGUUGCAAAGCUGAAACUUAAAGGAAUUGACGGAAGGGCACCACCAGGAGUGGAGCCUGCGGCUUAAUUUGACUCAACACGGGAAAACUCACCCGGCCCGGACACUGUGAGGAUUGACAGAUUGACAGCUCUUUCAUGAUUCGGUGGUUGGUGGUGCAUGGCCGUUCUUAGUUGGUGGAGCGAUUUGUCUGGUUAAUUCCGAUAACGAACGAGACUCUAUUCUGCUAAAUAGUACACCCGUAAUUGGUGGGCUGGCUCGACAUUGGUCAUUCUGCACUCGUUGUGGAAAGACUGGCUGUUGGCCUCCUACUGCGCGAGUGAAACUUCUUAGAGAGACAAACUGCGCUAGCAAUGCGAAAUUGAGCAAUAACAGGUCUGUGAUGCCCUUAGAUGUCCGGGGCCGCACGCGCGCUACAAUGACGGUACCAGCGAGUAUGACCUCCUGGCCCGAGAGGGUUAGGCAAACUGGUCCAUGACCGUCGUGACAGGGAUCGGGGUUUGUAAUUAUCCCCCGUGAACGAGGAAUUCCCAGUAAGUGCAAGUCAUAAGCUUGUGCUGAUUACGUCCCUGCCCUUUGUACACACCGCCCGUCGCUACUACCGAUUGAGUGGUUUGGCAAGGCCUUCGGAUCGGCGCCAUUGUAAUCCUUCGGGAUUCGACAGGUGCUGAAAAGAGGACCAAACUUGAUCACUUAGAGGAAGUAAAAGUCGUAACAAGGUUUCCGU